GAUGCCUAUAUUAAGGACAACACCUUGUAAAAAUAUUAUUAACUGCUCAGUUGGUGCCUGUGAAAACCCGUGGAUAUCUGAAAGGGAAAAGACGUGCCAGUCAAGGUCCUCAUUCUGACAUCACAGACCUCUGGUGUACCACUUGUUCCUCCC